GACGGAGGAUGCAAGUGUUAUCCGGAAUCACUGGGCGUAAAGGGUCUGUAGGUGGUUUUUUAAGUCUGCUGUUAAAGCUUGAAGCUCAACUUCAAAAAUGCAUCGGAAACUAGAAAACUUGAGUAUGGUAGGGGUAGAGGGAAUUUCCAGUGAAGUGGUGAAAUGCGUAGAUAUUGGAAAGACCACCAAAGGCGAAGGCACUCUACUGGGCCACAACUGACACUGAGAGACGAAAGCUAGGGGAGCGAAUGGG
rnacentral:rRNA from 1 species